UCAAGAACCUUCCGCAAUGGACGAAAGUCUGACGGAGCGACGCCGCGUGAUCGAUGAAGCGAUUCGUCGUGUAAAGAUCUUUUAUGAGGGAAGAAGUUUAUUGACGGUACCUCAUGAAUAAGGGGCUCCUAACUCUGUGCCAGCAGGAGCGGUAAUACAGAGGCCCCGAGCGUUAUCCGGAAUUAUUGGGCGUAAAGGGUGUGUAGGUGGCGUUGUUAGUCGUUUGUGAAAGAUCGGGGCUUAACCUCGAAAACGCGAACGAAACGGCAAUGCUUGAGUAUGUGAGAGGUAAGCAGAACUCAUGGUGUAGGGGUGAAAUCCGUUGAUAUCAUGGGGAAUACCAAAAGCGAAGGCAGCUUACUGGCACAUUACUGACACUGAAACACGAAAGCGUGGGUAG
rnacentral:rRNA from 1 species